rnacentral:misc_RNA from 1 species
UUUUUUUUUUUUUUUUCUUGAUUUGGUAGCUAGGCUUCUUUUUUAUUUUUGAGCCAAGAUUUAAUUGGGUUUCUCCUUUCACUGCUCUUUGUAAUUGUAGAGUUUGUUUUUGUUUUUUUCCAAGCAGCCAUUGUUGAAUGCUAGCCAUGUUUGUUCAGAAAAAGAAAUGGAAUAUCUUUGCAUAUGGGUGUCUCAAAUCCUUUCACUUAGCACGUUAUACCCAAAAUUGAAUUUUUCUCAUUUUUUAAUAUUAAUUCAAAUUUUUUUAAAAAAUAAUCCCUUGCAUGAAUUAUAUAAUUUCUUUGAUUAAUAAGUUUGAGCAUGAUUAAUUUAUGCGAAUCCCUCAAGAAAUCUUAUAUUAUUUUAGUGGAUACGAAGGGAAGAAAAGAUCUUUGCUUGUUUAUAUUUAAAGAUAACAUAUUUUUCAUGGGCAAAUAAUAGAGCAAUAUUAUAAAGGAAAUGGAUGACAACAAGAGAUAACUAAACGGUUAAGGGAGGAAUAUAAAAAU